CGGGGGCAACCCUGGUGGCGAGUGGCGAACGGGUGAGUAAUACAUCGGAACGUGCCCAGUCGUGGGGGAUAACGUAGCGAAAGCUACGCUAAUACCGCAUACGAUCUACGGAUGAAAGCGGGGGAUCGCAAGACCUCGCGCGAUUGGAGCGGCCGAUGGCAGAUUAGGUAGUUGGUGGGGUAAAGGCUCACCAAGCCGACGAUCUGUAGCUGGUCUGAGAGGACGACCAGCCACACUGGGACUGAGACACGGCCCAGACUCCUACGGGAGGCAGCAGUGGGGAAUUUUGGACAAUGGGCGCAAGCCUGAUCCAGCCAUUCCGCGUGCAGGAUGAAGGCCCUCGGGUUGUAAACUGCUUUUGUACGGAACGAAACGGCCUUUUCUAAUACAAGGGGCUAAUGACGGUACCGUAAGAAUAAGCACCGGCUAACUACGUGCCAGCAGCCGCGGUAAUACGUAGGGUGCGAGCGUUAAUCGGAAUUACUGGGCGUAAAGCGUGCGCAGGCGGUGAUGUAAGACAGAUGUGAAAUCCCCGGGCUUAACCUGGGAACUGCAUUUGUGACUGCAUCGCUGGAGUGCGGCAGAGGGGGAUGGAAUUCCGCGUGUAGCAGUGAAAUGCGUAGAUAUGCGGAGGAACACCGAUGGCGAAGGCAAUCCCCUGGGCCUGCACUGACGCUCAUGCACGAAAGC
rnacentral:rRNA from 1 species